AGAAAUCUAAAGGAGUUCGGCACUACAGAAACUAAAAAAAUGUUUAAGAAGCGAAAAAGAGCAAUAACAAAAGGUGGAAGCAGAAGUCAAAGCUUGGUGCAGAAAGCUUCUUGGUAUAAACAGAAGCAGCCGGGGGGAGGAGUGCUAGCCCGACCAGUUGGCCCAGGAAGCUCCAGCUCGUACUUCGGAGGAACUCCGUACUGAAUCCUAAUCAGUGAGAGUUCCUCCAGAGUCAGAGAGCUGGGGAUGGUGUCUGGUAC
rnacentral:lncRNA from 1 species